GGAGACGUUGGCUGUGUGCCUAGGUAUGCAAGUCGAACGAUCCCUUUCUGAUUUCUUGAAGCUUCGGCUGAUAGUUUUCUAUUUGGGAUAGUGGCAAACGGGUGAGUAACACGUAGAUAACUUGCCUCGAAGUCGGGAAUAGCUCGACGAAAGACGGGGUAAUAUCCGAUGGUCUCUAAUCACUUCGUGUGUUUUAGAGUAAAGCUUUUGUGCUUCGAGAGAGGUCUGCGUCCUAUCAGCUAGUUGGUAAGGUAAUGGCUUACCAAGGCUAAGACGGGUAGCUGGUGUGAGAGCACGGUCAGCCACCAUGGAACUGAGACACGGUCCAUACUCCUACGGGAGGCAGCAAUUAGGAAUCUUGCGCAAUGGGGGCAACCCUGACGCAGCGACACAGUGUGGAGGAGGAAGGUCUUCGGAUUGUAAACUCCUUUCAUGAGGGAAGAAUAGAUGACGGUACCUCAUGAAUAAGCACCUGCUAACUACGUGCCAGAAGCAUCGGUGAUGCGUAGGGUGCGAACGUUAUCCGGAUUUAUUGGGCGUAUAGAGAAGCGUAGGUGUUUUUGUAAGUCUUUAGUUAAAUACCACGGCUCAACCGUGGGGGAGCUUCGGAAACUACAGAAAUUGAGACAGGAAUGGGCGAAUGGAAUUCCCAGUGGAGCGGUGAAAUGCGUUGAUAUUGGGAGGAACAUCAGUGGCGAAGGCGAUUCGCUGGUCCUUGUCUGACACUAAGGCUCGAAAGCGUGGGGAGCGAAACGGAUUAGAUACCCGUGUAGUCCACGCCGUAAACAAUGGNACGCUAGGUGUUCGGUACA
rnacentral:rRNA from 1 species